rnacentral:rRNA from 1 species
CUUCGGGGAGCAGCCGUGAGGAAUAUUGGACAAAGAGCGCAAAGCUGAUCCAGCAAUACUACGUGAGUGAAGAAGGGCAUGUGGAGUGUAAAGCUCUAUAUUUGGAGAGGAUGAGGACGUAUUCAUAGAAAAAGUCCCGACUAACUUCGUGCCAGCAGUCGCGGUAAUACGAAGGGGACGGGCGUUACUCAGCAUGAUUGGGCGUAAAGGGUGAGUAGGCGGUUUUUUAAGUUAAGAUCAAAAUCCAAAAGCAUAACUUUUGAAAAUGUUUUAAUACUGUAAAGCUAGAGUAUAAAUAAGGAAAGUAGUAUUUUUAGUGUAAAGGUUAAAUUUUGAAAUAUUAAAAGGAACACCAGUGGGGGAAGGGGCCUCUUGGGUCUUUUCUGACGCUGAGGCACAAAAGCAUGGGGAGCAAACAGGAUUAGAUACCCCGGUAGUCC